UAGGGAAUCUUCGGCAAUGGGGGCAACCCUGACCGAGCAACGCCGCGUGAGUGAAGAAGGUUUUCGGAUCGUAAAGCUCUGUUGUUAAAGAAGAACACGUAUGAGAGUAACUGUUCAUACGUUGACGGUAUUUAACCAGAAAGUCACGGCUAACUACGUGCCAG
rnacentral:rRNA from 1 species